GCUUAACCGUAGAAGUGCAUCGGAAACUGGGAGACUUGAGUGCAGAAGAGGACAGUGGAACUCCAUGUGUAGCGGUGGAAUGCGUAGAUAUAUGGAAGAACACCAGUGGCGAAGGCGGCUGUCUAGUCUGUAACUGACGCUGAGGCUCGAAAGCAUGGGUAGCGAACAGGAUUAGAUACCCUGGUAGUCCAUGCCGUAAACGAUGAGUGCUAAGUGUUGGAGGGUUUCCGCCCUUCAGUGCUGCAGCUAACGCAUUAAGCACUCCGCCUGGGGAGUACGACCGCAAGGUUGAAACUCAAAGGAAUUGACGGGGGCCCGCACAAGCGGUGGAGCAUGUGGUUUAAUUCGAAGCUACGCGAAGAACCUUACCAGGUCUUGACAUCUUCUGCCAAUCUUAGAGAUAAGACGUUCCCUUCGGGGACAGAAUGACAGGUGGUGCAUGGUUGUCGUCAGCUCGUGUCGUGAGAUGUUGGGUUAAGUCCCGCAACGAGCGCAACCCUUAUUAUCAGUUGCCAGCAUUCAGUUGGGCACUCUGGUGAGACUGCCGGUGACAAACCGGAGGAAGGUGGGGAUGACGUCAAAUCAUCAUGCCCCUUAUGACCUGGGGCUACACACGUGCUACAAUGGACGGUACAACG
rnacentral:rRNA from 1 species